GCCAGGUGUGGUGGCGCACAACUGUAAUCCCAGCUACUAGGGAGGCUGAGGCAGGAGAAUCGCUUGAACCCGGGAGGUGGAGGUUGCAGUGAGCCGAGAUCGUGCCACUGCACUCCAGCCUGGGUGACAGAGCGAGACUCUGUCUCAA
ensembl:misc_RNA Metazoa_SRP Metazoan signal recognition particle RNA